rnacentral:rRNA from 1 species
GACGAACGCUGGCGGCGUGCUUAACACAUGCAAGUCGAACGGAAAGGCCCUGCUUUUGUGGGGUGCUCGAGUGGCGAACGGGUGAGUAACACGUGAGUAACCUGCCCUUGACUUUGGGAUAACUUCAGGAAACUGGGGCUAAUACCGGAUAGGAGCGCCUGCUGCAUGGUGGGGGUUGGAAAGUUUCGGCGGUUGGGGAUGGACUCGCGGCUUAUCAGCUUGUUGGUGGGGUAGUGGCUUACCAAGGCUUUGACGGGUAGCCGGCCUGAGAGGGUGACCGGCCACAUUGGGACUGAGAUACGGCCCAGACUCCUACGGGAGGCAGCAGUGGGGAAUAUUGCACAGUGGGCGGAAGCCUGAUGCAGCAACGCCGCGUGCGGGAUGACGGCCUUCGGGUUGUAAACCGCUUUCGCCUGUGACGAAGCGUGAGUGACGGUAAUGGGUAAAGAAGCACCGGCUAACUACGUG